UACAGAGGUCUCAAGCGUUGUUCGGAUUCAUUGGGCGUAAAGGGCGCGUAGGCGGCUUGGCAAGUUGGGCGUGAAAGCCCUGGGCUUAACCCAGGAAUUGCGCUUGAGACUGCCGGCUUGAGUGCGGGAGAGGUGAGUGGAAUUCCCAGUGUAGAGGUGAAAUUCGUAGAUAUUGGGAAGAACACCAGUGGCGAAGGCGGCUCACUGGCCCGCAACUGACGCUGAGGCGCGAAAGCGUGGGGAGCAAACAGG
rnacentral:rRNA from 1 species